AAAUAAGAAACAAAAUAUUGUAUUUAGUUUCGACCUAAAAUUUUGAUUUCAAAAUCCUUAUUUA
rnacentral:tRNA from 1 species